UGGCAACAGUGAUGACAAGUUUGGUCUGUAUGUAAUAUAUUUUAUUACUACGUGAAGACACCAGUCCCUCUAAGCUGAUGUUGCCG
ensembl:snoRNA